rnacentral:rRNA from 1 species
UUUUUGUGGAGGGUUUGAUUCUGGCUCAGGAUGAACGCUGGCGGCGUGCUUAACACAUGCAAGUCGAACGGGAUCCGCCAAGCUUGCUUGGUGGUGAGAGUGGCGAACGGGUGAGUAAUGCGUGACCAACCUGCCCCAUGCUUCGGAAUAGCUCCUGGAAACGGGUGGUAAUGCCGGAUGCUCCGCAUCAUCGCAUGAUGGUGUGGGAAAGGGUUUACCGGCAUGGGAUGGGGUCGCGUCCUAUCAGCUUGUUGGCGGGGUGAUGGCCUGCCAAGGCUUCGACGGGUAGCCGGCCUGAGAGGGCGACCGGCCACAUUGGGACUGAGAUACGGCCCAGACUCCUACGGGAGGCAGCAGUGGGGAAUAUUGCACAAUGGGCGCAAGCCUGAUGCAGCGACGCCGCGUGCGGGAUGACGGCCUUCGGGUUGUAAACCGCUUUUGAUUGGGAGCAAGCGAGAGUGAGUGUACCUUUCGAAUAAGCACCGGCUAACUACGUGCCAGCAGCCGCGGUAAUACGUAGGGUGCAAGCGUUAUCCGGAUUUAUUGGGCGUAAAGAGCUCGUAGGCGGUUCGUCGCGUCUGGUGUGAAAGUCCAUCGCUUAACGGUGGAUCGGCGCCGGGUACGGGCGGACUGGAGUGCGGUAGGGGAGACUGGAAUUCCCGGUGUAACGGUGGAAUGUGUAGAUAUCGGGAAGAACACC